rnacentral:rRNA from 1 species
UGCAUAGCCGACCUGAGAGGGUGAUCGGCCACACUGGAACUGAGACACGGUCCAGACUCCUACGGGAGGCAGCAGUAGGGAAUCUUCCGCAAUGGGCGAAAGCCUGACGGAGCAACGCCGCGUGAGUGAUGAAGGUCUUCGGAUCGUAAAACUCUGUUAUUAGGGAAGAACAUAUGUGUAAGUAACUGUGCACAUCUUGACGGUACCUAAUCAGAAAGCCACGGCUAACUACGUGCCAGCAGCCGCGGUAAUACGUAGGUGGCAAGCGUUAUCCGGAAUUAUUGGGCGUAAAGCGCGCGUAGGCGGUUUUUUAAGUCUGAUGUGAAAGCCCACGGCUCAACCGUGGAGGGUCAUUGGAAACUGGAAAACUUGAGUGCAGAAGAGGAAAGUGGAAUU